UACGUAGGGGGCAAGCGUUGUCCGGAGUUACUGGGCGUAAAGCGCACGCAGGCGGUCUUUUAAGUUUGGAGUGACAGUUGGUGGCUUAACUGCCAAAGUGCUUCGAAAACUGAGAGACUUGAGGGCUUCAGAGGGACACGGAAUUCCGGGUGGAGCGGUGAAAUGCGUAGAGAUCGGAAAGAACAGCCAACGGCGAAAGCACUCUGCUGGGCCGACACUGACACUGGAGAGACGAAAGCUAGGGGAGCGAAUGGG
rnacentral:rRNA from 1 species